CUUGGUGUUACUGCGAAGGGGGGACGGAGAAGGCUAUGUUGGCCGGGCGACGGUUGUCCCGGUUUAAGCGUGUAGGCUGGUUUUCCAGGCAAAUCCGGAAAAUCAAGGCUGAGGCGUGAUGACGAGGCACUACGGUGCUGAAGCAACAAAUGCCCUGCUUCCAGGAAAAGCCUCUAAGCAUCAGGUAACAUCAAAUCGUACCCCAAACCGACACAGGUGGUCAGGUAGAGAAUACCAAGGCGCUUGAGAGAACUCGGGUGAAGGAACUAGGCAAAAUGGUGCCGUAACUUCGGGAGAAGGCACGCUGAUAUGUAGGUGAGGUCCCUCGCGGAUGGAGCUGAAAUCAGUCGAAGAUACCAGCUGGCUGCAACUGUUUAUUAAAAACACAGCACUGUGCAAACACGAAAGUGGACGUAUACGGUGUGACGCCUGCCCGGUGCCGGAAGGUUAAUUGAUGGGGUUAGCGCAAGCGAAGCUCUUGAUCGAAGCCCCGGUAAACGGCGGCCGUAACUAUAACGGUCCUAAGGUAGCGAAAUUCCUUGUCGGGUAAGUUCCGACCUGCACGAAUGGCGUAAUGAUGGCCAGGCUGUCUCCACCCGAGACUCAGUGAAAUUGAACUCGCUGUGAAGAUGCAGUGUACCCGCGGCAAGACGGAAAGACCCCGUGAACCUUUACUAUAGCUUGACACUGAACAUUGAGCCUUGAUGUGUAGGAUAGGUGGGAGGCUUUGAAGUGUGGACGCCAGUCUGCAUGGAGCCGACCUUGAAAUACCACCCUUUAAUGUUUGAUGUUCUAACGUUGACCCGUAAUCCGGGUUGCGGACAGUGUCUGGUGGGUAGUUUGACUGGGGCGGUCUCCUCCUAAAGAGUAACGGAGGAGCACGAAGGUUGGCUAAUCCUGGUCGGACAUCAGGAGGUUAGUGCAAUGGCAUAAGCCAGCUUGACUGCGAGCGUGACGGCGCGAGCAGGUGCGAAAGCAGGUCAUAGUGAUCCGGUGGUUCUGAGUGGAAGGGCCAUCGCUCAACGGAUAAAAGGUACUCCGGGGAUAACAGGCUGAUACCGCCCAAGAGUUCAUAUCGACGGCGGUGUUUGGCACCUUGAUGUCGGCUCAUCACAUCCUGGGGCUGAAGUAGGUCCCAAGGGUAUGGCUGUUCGCCAUUUAAAGUGGCACGCGAGAUGGGUUUAGAACGUCGUGAGACAGUUCGGUCCCUAUCUGCCGUGGGCGCUGGAGAACUGAGGGGGGCUGCUCCUAGUACGAGAGGACCGGAGUGGACGCAUCACUGGUGUUCGGGUUGUCAUGCCAAUGGCACUGCCCGGUAGCUAAAUGCGGAAGAGAUAAGUGCUGAAAGCAUCUAAGCACGAAACUUGCCCCGAGAUGAGUUCUCCCUGACCCUUUAAGGGUCCUGAAGGAACGUAGAAGACGACGACGUUGAUAGGCCGGGUGUGUAAGCGCAGCGAUGCGUUGAGCUAACCGGUACUAAUGAACCAU
rnacentral:rRNA from 1 species